rnacentral:tmRNA from 1 species
GGGGGCGAAUUGGUUUCGACGGAGAUAAUGAGGCAGAUGUAGCAUGUCGAGAUUCCACCCACCUCGUAAAAAGGUGGAAAAAACUAAGCGCAGAAACUCUGCCAAUUGCUGCCUAAAUAGUAGGCAUGCCGUUUCUCUAGUUCUUUCCUGCGGUGCUUGAGAAGCGUCGACUAGCAGGAUAGCGACCCAGGUUAGUGCCUGAGCCUGGCAAGUGAAGCUAGAUCGGGCCUGGUUCCGUUGUGUUUUUCCUCUUCGGACACUUCAGAACGAGAUUGCAGAAGAGGAUAAGCAUGUAGAAGCUAUCUGCUGAAUGUCUUCGGACGCGGGUUCGAUUCCCGCCGCCUCCAAAA